GGAGAGACAGAAUAGAGAAGGGGGAAGGAUAGGGGGGAGAGACCAGAACACCAAGGUUGAUGAGUGGAGGGGGAGGGGUGGUGGGAGAGGAUGUUAGUGUGAGAAUGUUGGUGCUGCUGAUGAGAGUUUGUAAAGGAGGUGUGUGUGUGUCUCCUUUUAAAUCAGGUAUUUAGGGCUGCUGGCACCCUAUUCCCUUCAUAGUGCACUACUGUUGACCAGAGCUCUAUGGGGCCCUGGUCAAAAGUAGUGCACUAUGUAGGGAAUAGGGUGCCAUUUGAUGCUGUCUAAAGCAUCUACUGCACUAAUUACUCCUAGUCUUAUUUAACUCCAGAUGUGUUUUAUAUUAUAAGAGUAAAAUAAAACACUCACAUUUUCAGGAUGAAUUGAUUGUUUAUACAUUCCGACUAAUGUGUAGCGAGAUUAUGUCAAUGCAUUUAUUUUCAUUGAAAACAUUCCGUAUUUAUUCUUAGUUUAGUAUUCUAGGUCAUUUUUUUACUCUGGUAAUGUGCCAUUUCCCCCCUAAAAACCUGCUAACCCCAAACCUACAGUACAGUAUCUAACUGCCAGAGAAGUACUAGAAGUAUAGAAGUACUGUAUUCAGUACAGUAUCUAACUGCCAGAGAAGUACUGGAGUAUAGAAGUACUGUAUUCAGUACAGUAUCUAACUGUCGGAGAAGUACUAGAGUAUAGAGGUACUGUAUUCAGUACAGUAUCUAACUGCCAGAGAAGUACUGGAGUAUAGAAGUACUGUAUUCAGUACAGUAUCUAACUGCCAGAGAAGUACUAGAGUAUAGAAGUACUGUAUUCAGUACAGUAUCUAACUGUCAGAGAAGUACUAGAGUAUAGAGGUACUGUAUUCAGUACAGUAUCUAACUGUCGGAGAAGUACUAGAGUAUAGAGGUACUGUAUUCAGUACAGUAUCUAACUGUCAGAGAAGUACUAGAGUAUAGAGGUACUGUAUUCAGUACAGUAUCUAACUGUCAGAGAAGUACUAGAGUAUAGAGGUACUGUAUUCAGUACAGUAUCUAACUGUCGGAGAAGUACUAGAGUAUAGAGGUACUGUAUUCAGUACAGUAUCUAACUGCCAGAGAAGUACUAGAGUAUAGAGGUACUGUAUUUAUUUAACCUUUUUAUUUAGCAUUACGUUUGAAAGAUUCCCCUAACUUUCCCCAAAUUCCCAGGUUUUCCUUCAGAAAUCCUGGUUAGAAUAUUCCCUGAAUCUGGAAGGAAGAAGCAGGAAAUCAGGGAAUCCUCCAUCUGGGAAUUCUGAAAUACAAAAGGAAUUUCUCAACUUUAUUGAGAGCCUUUAUUUUUUAACAAUAACAACCUGGUAUUAUCCUGGUUUAUCUUCUUAGAACCUAUUUUUUUAAUUCUCCUUUAAUUUCAUAGACUGAUUUUUUGUUGUGCCAUAAUGGAAGAAAUAAGAAAACAAUUGAUUCUAAAUCAGGACCGUAGUUCGUCAUAUUGUCAUGUUUGAUUGCAUUUGAUUUGUGUUGAGUGUUGACUAGUACUGAAGUUGUUGAAUGUACAAUGUACCUAAAUGUCCGGGUAUGUGUCUCAAAUGGAACGCUAUAGACUAAGUAGUGCACUACUUUUUGACUAGGCCUAUGUGGGACGUAUCCCCAAUGUUCCUUUCAUAAUAAUAAUAAAGGCCCAGUUUAUUUGAAUGUGG